GUUGGGGUGGCCGAGUAGUUAAGGCGUUGGACUAGAAAUCCAAUGGGAUCUUCCCGCGCAGGUUCGAAUCCUGCCCGCAACG
rfam:Nematostella vectensis strain CH2 x CH6 NEMVEscaffold_452_Cont27648, whole genome shotgun sequence.